rnacentral:lncRNA from 1 species
AACUUACCACGCAAUACCAAUAUCUCUUUGUAUAUUCACAGGUAAAUAAAAUGACAUUUAAGUAAGUGAUUUAACUUAUCAUAACUAAUAACCAAGUAAUCAGAUAACCAGAUAAAUUAUGCAGGAAGGGACCAAUUAACUCAGAUAAUCAAGAAGACUAUAAAAACUACCAAUGUAGUAUGCACAAUGUAAUAAUAAGUAAUUUAGGCAGUACAUUAAAAUAAAUUGGGAAUCAGAACAAAUGUGAAUU